rnacentral:rRNA from 1 species
UACGGAGAGGGCUGGUGUUAUUCGCAUUGACUGGGCGUAAAGGGCGCGUAGGCGGUUAUUGACGUGCGAUGUGAAAGCCCUGGGCUUAACCUAGGAAGUGCAUCGCAAACGAGAUGACUGGAGUAUAAGAGAGGGUGGCGGAAUUCCCCAAGUAGAGGUGAAAAUUCGUAGAUAUGGGGAGGAACACCGGUGGCGAAGGCGGCCACCUGGACGGUCACUGACGCUGAGACGCGAAAGCGUGGGUAGCAAACAGG